AGAAAAUUUGACUCUGGCUCUUCAGGGCUACCUGCCCUCCCCAUGUCCACACUGUCACUGACCCCCAAAGAAGAAUGAUCCUGGGUUUUGUUUGGUGAUUUUCAUUCUUCCACCUGAAUGACAUCCCCAUGCCCUGGCUGCCUGUGUGGGAUGUGUACCUGAGCCCCCUCUGGGGCAUGUGUAAGUCUCCAGCCUGGAAUUGCGGUGAAGCCGAAAGCUAUUCUGAGAUGUUCUGUACCCUCACAGCUAUUUCAGGCUCUAGGACUUUCUGCCCAUGUCUCAGCCGCAACUUCCAAGACUGGUCCUUUUAUGUUCCUUACAACCUCAGAUCCAAAAUAGCUCCAACCUGGAGGUGGUGACUGGCAGUAGCAUAGAGGGAGCAGAGAUGUUCAUGGGCCCCUGGCCUGGAGCUAGGCCUGGGGUUUGAGACUGAGCUCCAGAGAGGCAGCCGGGGCUCCACCCCACCCACAAACAGGCAGGCUUUGGGGGAGGGGGAUGCCCCAUGUGGAUCAGUAGCAGCUUGCAGAGCUGGCCUGAUUUCUGCCUGCUGAGCUUUCACUUACGUACCUCUUUCAGGGCUGGCAGUCACUGAUUCAUUCCACAAACAGUUUUGAGUGCCUACUGGAUGGCAGCCACUGUUCCAGAUUCUGGAAGAACAACUGGCAAAAAGAGACAAAAAUCCCUGCUCUUGUGGAGCUUACAUGUAACAAAAAUCAUAUAACUAACUUGCAGAGGUCUUUACAGUUUGCAGAGUGUUUCCCCGUACUUUUUUUUUCAUAGAAAAUCCUACUGUAAGCUCUGCUAACACAGCAUGUGCUGUUUUCUACUUGCCUGUUCUCAUUUAAUAUUUCCAGAAAUCCUCUGAGUUACACACUCCUCUAUUUCACUGAGAAGAGGACACAGACUCCAGAAGACCAGCAUAUGUGUGAGGUCCACAUGGUCAGGAAGUGGCAAAGCAGGAAUAUGAACCUAGUACAGCUCAAUUGAUCUCACCAAAAACAGCGAUCUGAUCAAGUCAUCAUGCCAUAAGACCUUCAGGGUCUCCAUCCUCUGGUCACAGCAUACUCUCGAGCUCCUCUUCACCUUCUGCUCUACCAGAUACCCACAUGCCGGCAGUGGGUGAGCAGAGGGCCACACUGCCAUUCUCACUGAGAUAGCUGUUUGUUGUGGAGGACUGUCCUAUGCAUAUAUUCCACCAAAAAAAAUGUAUACACACUUCAGGAAAAGAAAAAUGGCAUGAUGUUUUUCUACAGAUAUCAUUGCCUUUGCCUGAGGACCCCUAGAGGAUGUCAUAUAUCACAGAAAGGCCACUACACUGCCAGCCCUUCGAGAAGAAAUUGAAAAUGCACGUGCAGCCAUCUCAAUGACCAAGGUUACCCAAGCAGUGGUUCACCAUACUAAUAAAUGUCUGGAAGCUAAUACCACCACUUUGAGCACCUCUUGUAAUUGUAG
rnacentral:lncRNA from 1 species